ACUGGCUUCUAUAUGAUCACUGAAGUUAAGCAACAUCUAGCCUGGUCAGUACUUAGAUGGGUGACCGCUUGGGAAUACCAGAUG